AGAGUUUGAUCCUGGCUCAGGACGAACGCUGGCGGCGUGCUUAACACAUGCAAGUCGAGCGGAAAGGCCCUUCGGGGUACUCGAGCGGCGAACGGGUGAGUAACACGUGGGCAACCUGCCCCUCGCUCUGGGAUAACUCCGGGAAACCGGGGCUAAUACCGGAUAUGACCCUCUUAGGCAUCUUCGAGGGUGGAAAGUUUUUCGGCGAGGGAUGGGCCCGCGGCCUAUCAGCUUGUUGGUGGGGUGAUGGCCUACCAAGGCAGUGACGGGUAGCCGGCCUGAGAGGGCGACCGGCCACACUGGGACUGAGACACGGCCCAGACUCCUACGGGAGGCAGCAGUGGGGAAUAUUGCGCAAUGGGCGAAAGCCUGACGCAGCGACGCCGCGUGAGGGAUGACGGCCUUCGGGUUGUAAACCUCUUUCAGCAGGGACGAAGCGCAAGUGACGGUACCUGCAGAAGAAGCACCGGCCAACUACGUGCCAGCAGCCGCGGUAAUACGUAGGGUGCAAGCGUUGUCCGGAAUUAUUGGGCGUAAAGAGCUCGUAGGCGGCUUGUCACGUCGACUGUGAAAACCCGGGGCUCAACUCCGGGCCUGCAGUCGAUACGGGCUGGCUUGAGUGCGGUAGGGGAGACUGGAAUUCCUGGUGUAGCGGUGAAAUGCGCAGAUAUCAGGAGGAACACCGGUGGCGAAGGCGGGUCUCUGGGCCGUAACUGACGCUGAGGAGCGAAAGCGUGGGGAGCGAACAGGAUUAGAUACCCUAGUAGUCC
rnacentral:rRNA from 1 species